rnacentral:lncRNA from 1 species
CGACAUAGAGAAAUCCCAUUCGGCUAAGUUGUUCGAGUGAAAAGCUGAAAUCGGCGAAAUUAUUAUGCCCUGGGGGCAUACUAAUUGUUCAACACAUUCGGCAGCUGAAAGUGGAAAAAAUUUCUCCAAGUUAAAAAUAUUUGGAGAAAAUUCUUUAUUCGGCCAAGAGCGAAAUCAAUUUGAAAAUUUUGAUGUAAAAAGAUCUCGGCUUGGAAUAAAGCAUCGUUGGCCUCCUCCUGAUUAUGGUUUAGCAACUUUUAUUUCCGUUUGCUAAAAAAUCAAAUAAAAAAAAAUUGAAUAAAUUAUUUUCUUAAUCAUUCGGCCUUUUAGGCCGAUGCAUAAGAAAAUAAGGGGGCAAUAGGUGGUAUAUCAACAGUUUGAAAUCGGCGAUGGCUGUCCACAUAUGAUUGUUUCUUAGGGACAA